UACGAAGGUGGCAAGCGUUGUUCGGAUUUAUUGGGCGUAAAGAGCGUGUAGGCGGCCAAACAGGUCAGCUGUGAAAACUCGAGGCUCAACCUCGAGACGUCGGUUGAAACCGUAUGGCUAGAGUCCGGAAGAGGAGAGUGGAAUUCCCGGUGUAGCGGUGAAAUGCGCAGAUAUCGUAAGGAAGACCAGUGGCGAAGGCGGGUCUCUGGACAGUUCCUGACGCUGAGGCACGAAGGUCAGGGGAGCAAACGGG
rnacentral:rRNA from 1 species